rnacentral:rRNA from 1 species
CGCUUCUUUUUCCCCGGAGCUUGCUCCACCGGAAAAAGAAGAGUGGCGAACGGGUGAGUAACACGUGGGUAACCUGCCCAUCAGAAGGGGAUAACACUUGGAAACAGGUGCUAAUACCGUAUAACAAUCGAAACCGCAUGGUUUUGAUUUGAAAGGCGCUUUCGGGUGUCGCUGAUGGAUGGACCCGCGGUGCAUUAGCUAGUUGGUGAGGUAACGGCUCACCAAGGCCACGAUGCAUAGCCGACCUGAGAGGGUGAUCGGCCACAUUGGGACUGAGACACGGCCCAAACUCCUACGGGAGGCAGCAGUAGGGAAUCUUCGGCAAUGGACGAAAGUCUGACCGAGCAACGCCGCGUGAGUGAAGAAGGUUUUCGGAUCGUAAAACUCUGUUGUUAGAGAAGAACAAGGAUGAGAGUAACUGUUCAUCCCUUGACGGUAUCUAACCAGAAAGCCACGGCUAACUACGUGCCAGCAGCCGCGGUAAUACGUAGGUGGCAAGCGUUGUCCGGAUUUAUUGGGCGUAAAGCGAGCGCAGGCGGUUUCUUAAGUCUGAUGUGAAAGCCCCCGGCUCAACCGGGGAGGGUCAUUGGAAACUGGGAGACUUGAGUGCAGAAGAGGAGAGUGGAAUUCCAUGUGUAGCGGUGAAAUGCGUAGAUAUAUGGAGGAACACCAGUGGCGAAGGCGGCUCUCUGGUCUGUAACUGACGCUGAGGCUCGAAAGCGUGGGGAGCAAACAGGAUUAGAUACCCUGGUAGUCCACGCCGUAAACGAUGAGUGCUAAGUGUUGGAGGGUUUCCGCCCUUCAGUGCUGCAGCUAACGCAUUAAGCACUCCGCCUGGGGAGUACGACCGCAAGGUUGAAACUCAAAGGAAUUGACGGGGGCCCGCACAAGCGGUGGAGCAUGUGGUUUAAUUCGAAGCAACGCGAAGAACCUUACCAGGUCUUGACAUCCUUUGACCACUCUAGAGAUAGAGCUUCCCCUUCGGGGGCAAAGUGACAGGUGGUGCAUGGUUGUCGUCAGCUCGUGUCGUGAGAUGUUGGGGUUAAGUCCCGCAACGAGCGCAACCCUUAUUGUUAGUUGCCAUCAUUCAGUUGGGCACUCUAGCAAGACUGCCGGUGACAAACCGGAGGAAGGUGGGGAUGACGUCAAAUCAUCAUGCCCCUUAUGACCUGGGCUACACACGUGCUACAAUGGGAAGUACAACGAGUCGCGAAGUCGCGAGGCUAAGCUAAUCUCUUAAAGCUUCUCUCAGUUCGGAUUGUAGGCUGCAACUCGCCUACAUGAAGCCGGAAUCGCUAGUAAUCGCGGAUCAGCACGCCGCGGUGAAUACGUUCCCGGGCCUUGUACACACCGCCCGUCACACCACGAGAGUUUGUAACACCCGAAGUCGGUGA